rnacentral:tRNA from 1 species
GCUCCUGUAGUUCAAUGGAUAGAACAUCGGUCUCCGGAACCGACGAUUCGGGUUCGAGUCCCGGCAGGAGCGCCA